rnacentral:rRNA from 1 species
CUCUUUACCUAGCGGCGGACGGGUGAGUAAUGCUUAGGAAUCUGCCUAUUAGUGGGGGACAACAUCUCGAAAGGGAUGCUAAUACCGCAUACGUCCUACGGGAGAAAGCAGGGGACCUUCGGGCCUUGCGCUAAUAGAUGAGCCUAAGUCGGAUUAGCUAGUUGGUGGGGUAAAGGCCUACCAAGGCGACGAUCUGUAGCGGGUCUGAGAGGAUGAUCCGCCACACUGGGACUGAGACACGGCCCAGACUCCUACGGGAGGCAGCAGUGGGGAAUAUUGGACAAUGGGGGGAACCCUGAUCCAGCCAUGCCGCGUGUGUGAAGAAGGCCUUUUGGUUGUAAAGCACUUUAAGCGAGGAGGAGGCUACCGAGAUUAAUACUCUUGGAUAGUGGACGUUACUCGCAGAAUAAGCACCGGCUAACUCUGUGCCAGCAGCCGCGGUAAUACAGAGGGUGCAAGCGUUAAUCGGAUUUACUGGGCGUAAAGCGCGCGUAGGUGGCCAAUUAAGUCAAAUGUGAAAUCCCCGAGCUUAACUUGGGAAUUGCAUUCGAUACUGGUUGGCUAGAGUAUGGGAGAGGAUGGUAGAAUUCCAGGUGUAGCGGUGAAAUGCGUAGAGAUCUGGAGGAAUACCGAUGGCGAAGGCAGCCAUCUGGCCUAAU